rnacentral:rRNA from 1 species
GACCCCGCACAAGCAGCGGAGCAUGUGGUUUAAUUCGAUGCAACCCGAAGAACCUUACCAGGGCUUGACAUCCCUCUGACCGGUAUAGAGAUAUACCUUCCCUUCGGGGCAGAGGUGACAGAUAGUGCAUGGUUGUCGUCAGCUCGUGUCGUGAGAUGUUGGGUUAAGUCCCGCAACGAGCGCAACCCUCGUCUUUAGUUGCCAGCAUUUCGGAUGGGAACUCUAAAGAGACCGCCGGGGAUAACUCGGAGGAAGGUGGGGAUGACGUCAAAUCAUCAUGCUUCUUACGUCCUGGGCUACACACGUGCUACAAUGGUCCGUAACAAAGAGCAGCGAAGCCGCGAGGUGGAGCGAAACUCAAAAACCGGAUCCCAGUUCGGAUUGCAGGCUGAAACCCGCCUGCAUGAAGUUGGAGUUGCUAGUAAUCGCGAAUCAGCAUGUCGCGGUGAAUACGUUCCCGGGGUUU